UUAAGCGACUAAGCGUACACGGUGGAUGCCCUGGCAGUCAGAGGCGAUGAAGGACGUGCUAAUCUGCGAUAAGCGUCGGUAAGGUGAUAUGAACCGUUAUAACCGGCGAUUUCCGAAUGGGGAAACCCAGUGUGAUUCGUCACACUAUCAUUAACUGAAUCCAUAGGUUAAUGAGGCGAACCGGGGGAACUGAAACAUCUAAGUACCCCGAGGAAAAGAAAUCAACCGAGAUUCCCCCAGUAGCGGCGAGCGAACGGGGAGGAGCCCAGAGCCUGAAUCAGUGUGUGUGUUAGUGGAAGCGUCUGGAAAGGCGCGCGAUACAGGGUGACAGCCCCGUACACAAAAAUGCACAUAUUGUGAGCUCAAUGAGUAGGGCGGGACACGUGGUAUCCUGUCUGAAUAUGGGGGGACCAUCCUCCAAGGCUAAAUACUCCUGACUGACCGAUAGUGAACCAGUACCGUGAGGGAAAGGCGAAAAGAACCCCGGCGAGGGGAGUGAAAAAGAACCUGAAACCGUGUACGUACAAGCAGUGGGAGCCUCUUUAUGGGGUGACUGCGUACCUUUUGUAUAAUGGGUCAGCGACUUAUAUUCUGUAGCAAGGUUAACCGAAUAGGGGAGCCGAAGGGAAACCGAGUCUUAACUGGGCGUUAAGUUGCAGGGUAUAGACCCGAAACCCGGUGAUCUAGCCAUGGGCAGGUUGAAGGUUGGGUAACACUAACUGGAGGACCGAACCGACUAAUGUUGAAAAAUUAGCGGAUGACUUGUGGCUGGGGGUGAAAGGCCAAUCAAACCGGGAGAUAGCUGGUUCUCCCCGAAAGCUAUUUAGGUAGCGCCUCGUGAAUUCAUCUCCGGGGGUAGAGCACUGUUUCGGCAAGGGGGUCAUCCCGACUUACCAACCCGAUGCAAACUGCGAAUACCGGAGAAUGUUAUCACGGGAGACACACGGCGGGUGCUAACGUCCGUCGUGAAGAGGGAAACAACCCAGACCGCCAGCUAAGGUCCCAAAGUCAUGGUUAAGUGGGAAACGAUGUGGGAAGGCCCAGACAGCCAGGAUGUUGGCUUAGAAGCAGCCAUCAUUUAAAGAAAGCGUAAUAGCUCACUGGUCGAGUCGGCCUGCGCGGAAGAUGUAACGGGGCUAAACCAUGCACCGAAGCUGCGGCAGCGACGCUUAUGCGUUGUUGGGUAGGGGAGCGUUCUGUAAGCCUGUGAAGGUGUGCUGUGAGGCAUGCUGGAGGUAUCAGAAGUGCGAAUGCUGACAUAAGUAACGAUAAAGCGGGUGAAAAGCCCGCUCGCCGGAAGACCAAGGGUUCCUGUCCAACGUUAAUCGGGGCAGGGUGAGUCGACCCCUAAGGCGAGGCCGAAAGGCGUAGUCGAUGGGAAACAGGUUAAUAUUCCUGUACUUGGUGUUACUGCGAAGGGGGGACGGAGAAGGCUAUGUUGACCGGGCGACGGUUGUCCCGGUUUAAGCGUGUAGGCUGGUUUUCCAGGCAAAUCCGGAAAAUCAAGGCUGAGGCGUGAUGACGAGGCACUACGGUGCUGAAGCAACAAAUGCCCUGCUUCCAGGAAAAGCCUCUAAGCAUCAGGUAACAUCAAAUCGUACCCCAAACCGACACAGGUGGUCAGGUAGAGAAUACCAAGGCGCUUGAGAGAACUCGGGUGAAGGAACUAGGCAAAAUGGUGCCGUAACUUCGGGAGAAGGCACGCUGAUAUGUAGGUGAAGCGACUUGCUCGUGGAGCUGAAAUCAGUCGAAGAUACCAGCUGGCUGCAACUGUUUAUUAAAAACACAGCACUGUGCAAACACGAAAGUGGACGUAUACGGUGUGACGCCUGCCCGGUGCCGGAAGGUUAAUUGAUGGGGUCAGCGCAAGCGAAGCUCUUGAUCGAAGCCCCGGUAAACGGCGGCCGUAACUAUAACGGUCCUAAGGUAGCGAAAUUCCUUGUCGGGUAAGUUCCGACCUGCACGAAUGGCGUAAUGAUGGCCAGGCUGUCUCCACCCGAGACUCAGUGAAAUUGAACUCGCUGUGAAGAUGCAGUGUACCCGCGGCAAGACGGAAAGACCCCGUGAACCUUUACUAUAGCUUGACACUGAACAUUGAGCCUUGAUGUGUAGGAUAGGUGGGAGGCUUUGAAGUGUGGACGCCAGUCUGCAUGGAGCCGACCUUGAAAUACCACCCUUUAAUGUUUGAUGUUCUAACGUUGACCCGUAAUCCGGGUUGCGGACAGUGUCUGGUGGGUAGUUUGACUGGGGCGGUCUCCUCCUAAAGAGUAACGGAGGAGCACGAAGGUUGGCUAAUCCUGGUCGGACAUCAGGAGGUUAGUGCAAUGGCAUAAGCCAGCUUGACUGCGAGCGUGACGGCGCGAGCAGGUGCGAAAGCAGGUCAUAGUGAUCCGGUGGUUCUGAAUGGAAGGGCCAUCGCUCAACGGAUAAAAGGUACUCCGGGGAUAACAGGCUGAUACCGCCCAAGAGUUCAUAUCGACGGCGGUGUUUGGCACCUCGAUGUCGGCUCAUCACAUCCUGGGGCUGAAGUAGGUCCCAAGGGUAUGGCUGUUCGCCAUUUAAAGUGGUACGCGAGCUGGGUUUAGAACGUCGUGAGACAGUUCGGUCCCUAUCUGCCGUGGGCGCUGGAGAACUGAGGGGGGCUGCUCCUAGUACGAGAGGACCGGAGUGGACGCAUCACUGGUGUUCGGGUUGUCAUGCCAAUGGCACUGCCCGGUAGCUAAAUGCGGAAGAGAUAAGUGCUGAAAGCAUCUAAGCACGAAACUUGCCCCGAGAUGAGUUCUCCCUGACUCCUUGAGAGUCCUGAAGGAACGUUGAAGACGACGACGUUGAUAGGCCGGGUGUGUAAGCGCAGCGAUGCGUUGAGCUAACCGGUACUAAUGAACCGUGAGGCUUAACCUU
rnacentral:rRNA from 1 species